UACGUAGGGGGCAAGCGUUGUCCGGAAUCAUUGGGCGUAAAGAGCGUGUAGGCGGCCAGGUAGGUCUGGUGUGAAAACUCGAGGCUUAACCUCGAGAUGUCAUCGGAAACCAUCUGGCUAGAGUCCGGAAGAGGAAAGUAGAAUUCCUGGUGUAGCGGUGAAAUGCGCAGAUAUCAGGAAGAACACCCGUGGCGAAGGCGGCUCUCUGGGACGGUACUGACGCUGAGACGCGAAAGCGUGGGGAGCGAACAGG
rnacentral:rRNA from 1 species